UACGUAGGGUGCGAGCGUUAAUCGGAAUUACUGGGCGUAAAGUGUGCGCAGGCGGCAGAGCAAGUCGAGUGUGAAAUCCCCGGGCUUAACCUGGGAAUGGCAUUGGUGACUGCACGGCUAGAGUGUGUCAGAGGGGGGUAGAAUUCCACGUGUAGCAGUGAAAUGCGUAGAGAUGUGGAGGAAUACCGAUGGCGAAGGCAGGUCUCUGGGCUAGAACUGACGCUCAUGCACGAAAGCGUGGGGAGCAAACAGG
rnacentral:rRNA from 1 species